rnacentral:rRNA from 1 species
CCUACGGGAGGCAGCAGUAGGGAAUAUUGGGCAAUGGACGAAAGUCUGACCCAGCCAUGCCGCGUGCAGGAUGAAGGCCCUCUGGGUUGUAAACUGCUUUUGACAGGGAAGAAAUACACCAUGCGUGGUGGGCUGACGGUACCUGUAGAAUAAGCACCGGCUAACUCCGUGCCAGCAGCCGCGGUAAUACGGAGGGUGCAAGCGUUGUCCGGAUUUAUUGGGUUUAAAGGGUGCGUAGGCGGUUUUGUAAGUCAGUGGUGAAAGCUAGCAGCUUAACUGUUAAACUGCCAUUGAUACUGCAAAGCGUGAGUUCAGAUGAGGUAGGCGGAAUUUAUAGUGUAGCGGUGAAAUGCUUAGAUACUAUAAAGAACUCCGAUAGCGUAGGCAGCUUACUAAACUGAUACUGACGCUGAGGCACGAAAGUGUGGGGAUCAAACAGGAUUAGAUACCCUGGUAGUCCACACUGUAAACGAUGAUUACUCGUUGUUGGCGAUAUUACUGCCAGCGACUUAGGGAAACCGUUAAGUAAUCCACCUGGGAGUACGUUCGCAAGGAUGAAACUCAAAGGAAUUGACGG